rnacentral:lncRNA from 1 species
CCCCGCCGGAGUCCGGCCUUGUGCGCGCCAACCGCCCCCCGCCCACGGCGCGGAGCACCUCUGGUCUCCCCACUUGAACGGCGGGCCGCGCCGGCCCAUGAGGAAAGCGGGGUGCGGAGCUCGCCCCCUGCCGGAGGAUGCGCUCCGCCGGCGGGCACCCUGCGGGGACCACAGCCGGACGCCAGAAGUGACCUGACCGUGAAUGUGCGCUUUGCGUGCAGUCAUUGCAUCGUCGCAGGCCUAGGAGACAGAUGAAGAGAUGGCUCUUAAGGAAAUUCUCGGUUAUAUUGAAAAAUCCAGAAGCUCUGAAGAUACCAGUCAAAUAAAAUCACACCCUAUAACUCUACACCAGACUUGUGGCAUGGUUUCUGUAGCUGCCAGCGGUAAAACCAAGAGAAACUUUACAAAAACCGUUUGUGCAUCUGAAAAGGAGGAAGUGUGAGAGACAUUGGAAAUUCAAUAUGUCAGACAAAGCCGUCUCCUGACACUGCAGGACAGUAGACCAGUCAAACAAUCUUUUUAAAGCCCCCAUGUAAGAAGUUGCUAUAUGAGGUGGCAGCUUGGGUCAGACAUUAUGUAUGGCCUUUGGUAUUUUAGUAGCACUGCAUGUAAAAUUUAACUUUCUAAAAUCGCUGUAUUCGUGGAUAGCUUUUAUCAUUGCAC